rnacentral:rRNA from 1 species
UGGCGGACGGGUGAGUAACGCGUGAGGAACCUGCCUUUCAGAGGGGGACAACAGUUGGAAACGACUGCUAAUACCGCAUGACACAGCGGGGUCGCAUGACUCUGCUGUCAAAGAUUUAUCGCUGAAAGAUGGCCUCGCGUCUGAUUAGAUAGUUGGUGAGGUAACGGCCCACCAAGUCGACGAUCAGUAGCCGGACUGAGAGGUUGAACGGCCACAUUGGGACUGAGAUACGGCCCAGACUCCUACGGGAGGCAGCAGUGGGGAAUAUUGGGCAAUGGGGGAAACCCUGACCCAGCAACGCCGCGUGAAGGAAGAAGGCUUUCGGGUUGUAAACUUCUUUUACCAGGGACGAAGGACGUGACGGUACCUGGAGAAAAAGCCACGGCUAACUACGUGCCAGCAGCCGCGGUAAUACGUAGGUGGCAAGCGUUGUCCGGAUUUACUGGGUGUAAAGGGCGUGUAGGCGGGAGAGCAAGUCAGAAGUGAAAUCUAUGGGCUUAACCCAUAAACUGCUUUUGAAACUGUUCUUCUUGAGUAUCGGAGAGGCAGGCGGAAUUCCUAGUG